AUAGGCUUGGUCCUGGCCUUUCCAUUGCCUCUGAGCAAGAUUACACAUGCAAGUAUCCGCCCCCCAGUGAAAAUGCCCUCCAGGCCGUACAAGACCAAAAGGAGCAGGUAUCAAGCACGCUACCAAGUAGCUCAUAACACCUUGCUUAGCCACACCCCCACGGGCAUGCAGCAGUGACAAAACUUAAGCAAUGAGCGAAGGCUCGACUAAGCUAUGCUUAUACCCAAGGGUUGGUCAAUCUCGUGCCAGCCACCGCGGUCAUACGAUUAACCCAAGCCAAUGGAAGCACGGCGUAAAGCGUGCUUAGGGGACCAUAAAAUAAAGUUAAGCCCUAACUGAGUUGUAGAAAACAUCAGCUAGUAUAAAAAUACACUACGAAAGUGACUUUACAACCCCUGAAUGCACGAUAGCUAAGACCCAAACUGGGAUUAGAUACCCCACUAUGCUUAGCCCUAAACACAAACUACUCCUUAACAAUCUAGUUCGCCAGAGUACUACGGGCAACAGCCUAAAACUCAAAGGACUUGGCGGUGCUUCACAUCCCUCUAGAGGAGCCUGUCCUACAAUCGAUACACCCCGAUAAACCUCACCAGUCCUCGCAAUUCAGCCUAUAUACCGCCAUCCUCAGCAAACCCUAAAAAGGCACCACAGUAAGCACAAGCACUGAACGUAAAAACGUUAGGUCAAGGUGUAGCCUAUGGACUGGGAAGAGAUGGGCUACAUUUUCUAACCAAGAACACCCAAAUGACAACGGACGCCCUCGUGAAAAUCGAGAGCAUAAGGAGGAUUUAGCAGUAAGCCAAGAAUAGAGAGCUUGACUGAAUCAGGCCAUGAAGCACGCACACACCGCCCGUCACCCUCCUCAAGUGAAAAUACGGACUGAAAUCCUAUUGCCACCCGUCUAGCCCACAAGAGGAGAUAAGUCGUAACAAGGUAGGCGUACUGGAAAGUGCGCUUGGAAAUAC
rnacentral:ncRNA from 1 species